GAUAGCCAUGUGAAGCUCACGCAGCUCAGAUGAAAUCACUGUACAAGUUCAUUUCUGCCCAGGUGACAGCACCACAUACAUAUUGAAGAGCAAUUCAAAG
rnacentral:lncRNA from 1 species